UGUUAUACAAAGUUAAAAGUUAAUCUCUUGAGUAGUAAACAGUUAUAUUCUUGAAACUUAAAGGAUUUGGCGGUAUCUUAGUCUUGUUAGAGGAACCUGUUCUGUAAACGAUACACCACGAAUUAUCUUACUUUCUCUUGUAUCUCAGUUUGUAUACCGCCAUUGUCAGGUAGUUUUUAUAAAAAUCUAUUGUAAGAAUUGUUAGUUAAUAUAUUAGGUCAAGGUGCAGCUAAUGGGAGAGUAGUUAAUGGGUUACAUUAACAUUGGUUUAUAACGGAUAGGGAGGAUAAGGCUUCUUUGAAGGUGGAUUUAAUAGUAAUUGUUGUUUAAUAAGCUGUACUGAUAGAAGCUCUAAGAUAU
rnacentral:rRNA from 1 species